CCUCACACUGGGGGAUAACAGUUAGAAAUGACUGCUAAUACCGCAUAAGCGCACAGUACCGCAUGGUACGGUGUGAAAAACUCCGGUGGUGUGAGAUGGAUCCGCGUCUGAUUAGCCAGUUGGCGGGGUAACGGCCCACCAAAGCGACGAUCAGUAGCCGACCUGAGAGGGUGACCGGCCACAUUGGGACUGAGACACGGCCCAAACUCCUACGGGAGGCAGCAGUGGGGAAUAUUGCACAAUGGGCGAAAGCCUGAUGCAGCGACGCCGCGUGAGUGAAGAAGUAUUUCGGUAUGUAAAGCUCUAUCAGCAGGGAAGAAAAUGACGGUACCUGACUAAGAAGCCCCGGCUAACUACGUGCCAGCAGCCGCGGUAAUACGUAGGGGGCAAGCGUUAUCCGGAUUUACUGGGUGUAAAGGGAGCGUAGACGGCGAAGCAAGUCUGAAGUGAAAACCCAGGGCUCAACCCUGGGACUGCUUUGGAAACUGUUUUGCUAGAGUGUCGGAGAGGUAAGUGGAAUUCCUAGUGUAGCGGUGAAAUGCGUAGAUAUUAGGAGGAACACCAGUGGCGAAGGCGGCUUACUGGACGAUAAC
rnacentral:rRNA from 1 species